GUCGAGAAACGAACCGCGAACAAGGAAUCGAAUAGAGAUUUGCAUGGAACGCAAAUCUGAGAUUAGUGGACGGCUUUGGAAAAAUAUGUUCAAGUGGUUAUCAAGAACGCAAGCUUUUGUGAUGUCAUCUUUUUCGGUUGUUAUGUUUUGAACUUUGAAUAAUGUGGUUAAAGUUGUUGUUGUUUCAAGUUUCAAACAAGACAUAUGUAAUGUAAAUUAUGAUUUCGAAUCAAAUGUAUGGAUGAACAUCUUUUAUGUUU